CAGCACCUCAAGUGGUCAGGAUGAUUAUUGGGCCUAAAGCAUCCGUAGCCGGCUCAGUAAGUUUUCGGUUAAAUCUGUACGCUUAACGUACAGGCUGCCGGGAAUACUGCAGAGCUAGGGAGUGGGAGAGGUAGACGGUACUCGGUAGGAAGGGGUAAAAUCCUUUGAUCUAUUGAUGACCACCUGUGGCGAAGGCGGUCUACCAGAACACGUCCGACGGUGAGGGAUGAAAGCUGGGGGAGCAAACCGGAUUAGAUACCCCAGUAGUCC
rnacentral:rRNA from 1 species